GGUUGUGUGGUGUAAUGGUUAGCACAUAAGACUCUGAAUCUUGCGAUCCGAGUUCGAUUCUCGGCACGACCU
rfam:Zancudomyces culisetae strain COL-18-3 scaffold-249, whole genome shotgun sequence.